UACGUAGGUCCCGAGCGUUGUCCGGAUUUAUUGGGCGUAGAGCGAGCGCAGGUGGUUUAUUAAGUUUGGUGUAAAAGGCAGUGGCUCAACCAUUGUAUGCAUUGGAAACUGGUAGACUUGAGUGCAGGAGAGGAGAGUGGAAUUCCAUGUGUAGCGGUGAAAUGCGUAGAUAUAUGGAGGAACACCGGUGGCGAAAGCGGCUCUCUGGCCUGUAACUGACACUGAGGCUCGAAAGCGUGGGGAGCAAACAGG
rnacentral:rRNA from 1 species